GGUCGACGAUUCCUACGGGAGGCAGCAGUAGGGAAUCUUGCGCAAUGGGCGAAAGCCUGACGCAGCCAUGCCGCGUGAAUGAUGAAGGUCUUAGGAUUGUAGAAUUCUUUCACCGGGGACGAUAAUGACGGUACCCGGAGAAGAAGCUCCGGCUAACUUCGUGCCAGCAGCCGCGGUAAUACGAAGGGGGCUAGCGUUGCUCGGAAUUACUGGGCGUAAAGCGUGCGCAGGCGGUUGUGUAAGACAGGUGUGAAAUCCCCGGGCUUAACCUGGGAACUGCGCUUGUGACUGCACGGCUAGAGUACGGCAGAGGGGGGUGGAAUUCCUGGUGUAGCAGUGAAAUGCGUAGAUAUCAGGAGGAACACCGAUGGCGAAGGCAGCCCCCUGGGCCUGUACUGACGCUCAUGCACGAAAGCGUGGGGAGCAAACAGGAUUAGAUACCCUGGUAGUCCACGCCCUAAACGAUGUCAACUAGUUGUUCGUAGAGGUAACUCUGUGAGUAACGCAGCUAACGCGUGAAGUUGACCGCCUGGGGAGUACGGCCGCAAGGUUAAAACUCAAAGGAAUUGACGGAAUCUCUAGA
rnacentral:rRNA from 1 species